rnacentral:rRNA from 1 species
AGUGAACGCUGGCGGUAGGCCUAACACAUGCAAGUCGAACGGCAGCACAGGAGAGCUUGCUCUCUGGGUGGCGAGUGGCGGACGGGUGAGGAAUACAUCGGAAUCUACUCUGUCGUGGGGGAUAACGUAGGGAAACUUACGCUAAUACCGCAUACGACCUACGGGUGAAAGCAGGGGACCUUCGGGCCUUGCGCGAUUGAAUGAGCCGAUGUCGGAUUAGCUAGUUGGCGGGGUAAAGGCCCACCAAGGCGACGAUCCGUAGCUGGUCUGAGAGGAUGAUCCGCCACACUGGAACUGAGACACGGUCCAGACUCCUACGGGAGGCAGCAGUGGGGAAUCUUGGACAAUGGGCGCAAGCCUGAUCCAGCCAUACCGCGUGGGUGAAGAAGGCCUUCGGGUUGUAAAGCCCUUUUGUUGGGAAAGAAAUCCAGCUGGCUAAUACCCGGUUGGGAUGACGGUACCCAAAGAAUAAGCACCGGCUAACUUCGUGCCAGCAGCCGCAGUAA